rnacentral:lncRNA from 1 species
UUACAAACAACUAACUGAAAGAAGCUUGAUUCAAUAAGAGGAAGAAAAAUUGUGCAGUAGUCUCCCUUAUUAUCAUUAGUUCAGGUUUUCUGCUACUCAGAAAAGCUGAAGGAGAGGAAAGAACAGAUCUGGCAGAUAUUAUUUCAGAGCUAGUUGGAAAGAGUGUGCACGAAAAGAUCUUGCCUGGAGAAAUGAGUCCUGCAUGUGAAUGUUAGAGGAGCUAUGUAUGUAAGUUUCCUACUAGAUUUCCAUCUUGAACCUUGUCUCCAGCUGCAUCUAAAAACCAGUGUUUUCCAGGGCACUCUCCCCUGCAUUCAAGUCUGCCACACCAUUUGGCUAAUAUGGUAAGCAGAAUAAUACCCCAUGCACUCCACGAAUGUCCAUGCUCUAAACUUUUGAAUCUGUGAAUAUUUUACACUACUUCGCAAAAGGAAAGUUGCAAUUGGAAUUAAGGUUAUGGACCUUAAAAUAUAUACAGGCAUUCAUUAAGUGGAACCAAUGUAAUCAUAUGGGUGCUUAAGAAUAAAAGAGGAAGACAGAACA